rnacentral:rRNA from 1 species
UCAAGUACACUAACCCGUGCGAUCGCGAGAUCGCACAGAGCUCCACACGAACCAGGUGGAGCUCGGGAAAGUAUGACUUCUGAUCGGAAGAGGCCUUGCUUCUUCUGGAUCAGAUCAAGCGCGAAAAGGGCGUUUGGUGGAUGCCUUGGCAGUAAGAGGCGAUGAAGGACGUGAUACUCUGCGAUAAGCCAUGGGGAGCUGAGAAUAAGCUUUGAUCCAUGGAUCUCCGAAUGGGGCAACCCACCUGACAGUUUGUUAUAAUUGCCGCUUGCGGCAGCCUAUAAUGAGCUGAACCAGGUACUUCUCACCUGAAUACAUAGGGUUUGAAGAGCAAACCCGGGGAACUGAAACAUCUAAGUACCCGGAGGAAAGGAAAUCAACAGAUACUCCGCUAGUAGUGGCGAGCGAACGCGGACCAGCCGAGCAAUGAGAGUGACCGGAACAUGUUGGAAAGCAUGGCCACAGCGGGUGACAGCCCCGUACGGGAAGCUCGAUUUGACGUAUUAAGUAGGGCGGGACACGUGAAAUCCUGUCUGAAGAUCGGGGGACCACCCUCGAAGGCUAAGUACUCCUUACUGACCGAUAGCGAACCAGUACCGUGAGGGAAAGGUGAAAAGCACCCCGACGAGGGGAGUGAAACAGUACCUGAAACCGAACGCCUACAAUCAGUCGGAGGCUCCUUGCGAGCUGACGGCGUACCUUUUGUAUAAUGGGUCAUCGACUUGGUCUCACGAGCAAGCUUAAGCCGUUAGGUGUAGGCGCAGCGAAAGCGAGUCUUAAUAGGGCGCAUGAGUUCGUGGGAUCAGACCCGAAACCGAGUGAUCUAGGCAUGACCAGGAUGAAGGUAAGGUAACACUUACUGGAGGUCCGAACCCACACCUGUUGAAAAAGGUCGGGAUGAGUUGUGCCUAGGGGUGAAAGGCCAAUCAAACUCGGAGAUAGCUGGUUCUCCGCGAAAUCUAUUUAGGUAGAGCGUCAUCCGAAUACCCUCGGGGGUAGAGCACUGGAUGGGUAAUGGGGCCCCACAGGCUUACUGAUCCUAACCAAACUCCGAAUACCGAGGAGUACUAGAUGGCAGACACACGGCGGGUGCUAACGUCCGUCGUGGAGAGGGAAACAACCCUGACCUACAGCUAAGGCCCCCAAUUCGUGGCUAAGUGGGAAAGCAGGUGGGACGACCAAAACAACCAGGAGGUUGGCUUAGAAGCAGCCAUCCUUUAAAGAUAGCGUAACAGCUCACUGGUCUAAACAAGUUGUCCUGCGGCGAAGAUGUAACGGGGCUCAAGCCACGAGCCGAAGCUUAGGAUGUGCAUAGCACAUGGUAGCGGAGCGUAGUGUGACAUAAUUCCAUGUCUCCUUACUGCCCUCGGGCAGAUUGGAGACACGGAGUUUUCUGUGAAGCCGGGGCGUGAGCCAUCCGGUGGAGAGAUCACUAGCGAGAAUGAUGACAUGAGUAGCGACAAACAGGGUGAGAGACCCUGUCGCCGAAAGUCCAAGGGUUCCUGCUUAAAGCUAAUCUGAGCAGGGUGAGCCGACCCCUAAGGCGAGGCCGAAAGGCGUAGUCGAUGGGAACCAGGUUAAUAUUCCUGGGCCAGGAGGAUGUGACGGAUCUCGACGGUAGUUCGUCCUUAUCGGAUUGAACGGGCUGCUUAGAGGUUCCUGGAAAUAGCCCUCCAUGAGAUCGUACCCUAAACCGACACAGGUGGACUGGUAGAGAAUACCAAGGCGCUUGAGAGAACGAUGUUGAAGGAACUCGGCAAAAUACCUCCGUAAGUUCGCGAGAAGGAGGCCCGGUUUUUACGCAAGUAGAGGCCGGGGGCACAAACCAGGGGGUGGCGACUGUUUACUAAAAACACAGGGCUCUGCGAAGUCGCAAGACGACGUAUAGGGUCUGACGCCUGCCCGGUGCCGGAAGGUUAAAAGGAGAGGUGCAAGCCUUGAAUUGAAGCCCCGGUAAACGGCGGCCGUAACUAUAACGGUCCUAAGGUAGCGAAAUUCCUUGUCGGGUAAGUUCCGACCUGCACGAAUGGCGUAACGACUUCCCCGCUGUCUCCAACAUCGACUCAGCGAAAUUGAAUUGCCGGUCAAGAUGCCGGCUUCCCGCGGUUAGACGGAAAGACCCCAUGAACCUUUACUAUAGCUUCGCACUGGCAUCAGGAUUGCGAUGUGCAGGAUAGGUGGUAGGCUUUGAAGCAGUGACGCCAGUCGCUGUGGAGCCAUCCUUGAGAUACCACCCUUCGCACUCUUGAUGUCUAACCGCGGCCCGUUAUCCGGGUCCGGGACCCUGCGUGGUGGGUAGUUUGACUGGGGCGGUCGCCUCCCAAACAGUAACGGAGGCGCGCGAAGGUUGGCUCAGAGCGGUCGGAAAUCGCUCGUUGAGUGCAAUGGCAGAAGCCAGCCUGACUGCGAGACUGACAAGUCGAGCAGAGUCGAAAGACGGCCAUAGUGAUCCGGUGGUCCCGAGUGGAAGGGCCAUCGCUCAACGGAUAAAAGGUACUCUGGGGAUAACAGGCUGAUGGUGCCCAAGAGUCCAUAUCGACGGCACCGUUUGGCACCUCGAUGUCGGCUCAUCUCAUCCUGGGGCUGAAGCAGGUCCCAAGGGUAUGGCUGUUCGCCAUUUAAAGAGGUACGUGAGCUGGGUUUAGAACGUCGUGAGACAGUUCGGUCCCUAUCUGCCGUGGGUGUAGGAUACUUGAGAGGAGUUGCCCCUAGUACGAGAGGACCGGGGUGAACGAUCCACUGGUGGACCAGUUGUCGUGCCAACGGCAGUGCUGGGUAGCUAUGAUCGGAAAGGAUAACCGCUGAAGGCAUCUAAGCGGGAAGCCCCCCUCAAAACAAGGUAUCCCUGAGGACCGUGGUAGACCACCACGUCGAUAGGCCGGAGGUGUAAGCGCAGCAAUGUGCUCAGCUGACCGGUACUAAUGGUCCGAUAGGCUUGAUU